GGUUCGCUGGUGUAGUUGGUUAUCACGUUCGCCUCACAUCGUGACCGCGAAAGGUCGCCGGUUCGAGCCCGGCGUGAACCA